rnacentral:rRNA from 1 species
GAUGAACGCUGGCGGCGUGCCUAAUACAUGCAAGUCGAGCGAACAGACGAGGAGCUUGCUCCUCUGACGUUAGCGGCGGACGGGUGAGUAACACGUGGAUAACCUACCUAUAAGACUGGGAUAACUUCGGGAAACCGGAGCUAAUACCGGAUAAUAUAUUGAACCGCAUGGUUCAAUAGUGAAAGACGGUUUUGCUGUCACUUAUAGAUGGAUCCGCGCCGCAUUAGCUAGUUGGUAAGGUAACGGCUUACCAAGGCAACGAUGCGUAGCCGACCUGAGAGGGUGAUCGGCCACACUGGAACUGAGACACGGGCCAGACUCCUAAGGGAGGCAGCAGUAGGGAAUCUUCCGCAAUGGGCGAAAGCUUGACGGAGCAACGCCGCGUGAGGGAUGAAGGUCUUCGGAUCGUAAAACUCUGUUAUUAGGGAAGAACAAAUGUGUAAGUAACUAUGCACGUCUUGACGGUACCUAAUCAGAAAGCCACGGCUAACUACGUG